CAAACGGCCCUUUUCAGGGCCACCAAGUAUUUUUAACAAAGGAUCU
rfam:Habropoda laboriosa contig5014, whole genome shotgun sequence.